AGAGUUUGAUCAUGGCUCAGAUUGAACGCUGGCGGCAGGCCUAACACAUGCAAGUCGAGCGGUAGCACAGAGAGCUUGCUCUCGGGUGACGAGCGGCGGACGGGUGAGUAAUGUCUGGGAAACUGCCUGAUGGAGGGGGAUAACUACUGGAAACGGUAGCUAAUACCGCAUAACGUCGCAAGACCAAAGUGGGGGACCUUCGGGCCUCAUGCCAUCAGAUGUGCCCAGAUGGGAUUAGCUAGUAGGUGGGGUAAUGGCUCACCUAGGCGACGAUCCCUAGCUGGUCUGAGAGGAUGAUCAGCCACACUGGGACUGAGACACGGCCCAGACUCCUACGGGAGGCAGCAGUGGGGAAUAUUGCACAAUGGGCGCAAGCCUGAUGCAGCCAUGCCGCGUGUAUGAAGAAGGCCUUCGGGUUGUAAAGUACUUUCAGCGAGGAGGAAGGCAUUAAGGUUAAUAACCUUAGUGAUUGACGUUACUCGCAGAAGAAGCACCGGCUAACUCCGUGCCAGCAGCCGCGGUAAUAC
rnacentral:rRNA from 1 species